AUACGUAGGUGACAAGCGUUAUCCGGAUUUACUGGGCGUAAAGGGCGUGUAGGCGGUCUUGCAAGUCAGAAGUGAAAUUCCUGAGCUCAACUCGGGCGCUGCUUCUGAAACUGCAGGACUUGAGUGCUGGAGGGGAUAGCGGAAUUCCUAGUGGAGCGGUAAAAUGCGCAGAUAUUAGGAAGAACACCGGUGGCGAAGGCGGCAAUCUGGACAGUAACUGACGCUGAGGCGCGAAAGCGUGGGGAGCAAACAGGAUUAGAUACCCUGUUAGUCCACGCCGUAAACGAUGAAUACUAGGUGUAGGGGGUAUCGACUCCCUCUGUGCCGCAGUUAACACAAUAAGUAUUCCGCCUGGGGAGUACGGCCGCAAGGUUGAAACUCAAAUGAAUUGACGGGG
rnacentral:rRNA from 1 species